rnacentral:rRNA from 1 species
GACGAACGCUGGCGGCGUGCCUAAUACAUGCAAGUCGAGCGGAAUGAUGAAGAAGCUUGCUUCUUCUGAUUUUAGCGGCGGACGGGUGAGUAACACGUGGGCAACCUACCUUGUAGAUUGGGAUAACUCCGGGAAACCGGGGCUAAUACCGAAUAAUCCAUUUUGCUUCAUGACGAGAUGUUGAAAGACGGUUUCGGCUGUCACUAUAAGAUGGGCCCGCGGCGCAUUAGCUAGUUGGUAGGGUAAUGGCCUACCAAGGCGACGAUGCGUAGCCGACCUGAGAGGGUGAUCGGCCACACUGGGACUGAGACACGGCCCAGACUCCUACGGGAGGCAGCAGUAGGGAAUCUUCCACAAUGGACGAAAGUCUGAUGGAGCAACGCCGCGUGAGUGAAGAAGGUUUUCGGAUCGUAAAACUCUGUUGUAAGGGAAGAACACGUACGAGAGUAACUGCUCGUACCUUGACGGUACCUUAUUAGAAAGCCACGGCUAACUACGUG